AGGGGAGGCAACAUGGCAGUCGAACGGACAGAUAUGGAAACCUAGUGAAAUAUCUGUUAGUGGCGGACGGGUGAGUCCCUUAAAAAGAACCUGCCAUAUACAGGNGGGAUAANACUUAGACUUAAAAAGAUAAUACCGCAUAAGCGCACAGCUUCGCAUGAAGGAGUGUGAAAAACUAAGGUGGUAUAUGAUGGAUCUCCCAAUGAUUAGCCAGUUGGUGAGGUAACGGCGCACCAAAGCGACGAUCAGUAGCCGGCCUGAGAGGGCGGACGGCCACAUUGGGACUGAGACACGGCCCGGACUCCUGCGGGAGGCAGCAGUGGGGGAUUUUGCACAAUGGGGGAAACCCUGAUGCAGCGACGCCGCGUGAGUGAAGAAGUAAUUCGUUACGUAAAGCUCUAUCAGCAGGGAAGAAAAUGACGGUACUUGACUAAGAAGCCCCGGCUAACUACGUGCCAGCAGCCGCGGUAAUACGUACGGGGCAAGCGUUAUCCGGAAUUACUGGGUGUAAAGGGAGCGCAGACGGCAGUGCAAGUCUGGAGUGAAAGCCCGUGGCUUAACUACGGGACUGCUCUGGAAACUGUGCAGCUAGAGUGCAGGAGAGGCAGGCGGAAUUCCUAGUGUAGCGGUGAAAUGCGUAGAAUCACUAU
rnacentral:rRNA from 1 species